rnacentral:lncRNA from 9 species
AUGUGCCCUCCCCGAGGGGAGCCAAACCGGCCCACCGGGCCGGCGGCACCACGUGCGCGGGCACCAGGCUCCGGGCACCUCCUGGGGGUUGCAUCAGUCCAGGGCCAAUCCCCUCCUCAGCCCAGAGGUGCAGCCAGGCAGGUGCGGAGGCAGCGCAGCUCCGCUGGCGCUUUGGCGCCGUCUGGCGGACAUGUCCUGGGACAGCAACCCUCAGCCCUUCCUUCCUUUCACUCCUGGACUCAGACACCCCGCCCCACCCGCUUGUUAAGGCCAGAGACAGGGGGGCCCGGGCCUUCAGCACCCAUCCGCCCUGGCCCCCAGCCGGAGAUCCAGGACCUCCCAGGCCUUGCCCACUCGCCCCUGAGGCAGGUUAGGUUCCUUGACACACGUAUGCAGCAGGGGAGGAACGGGCUCAGGGGGAGCGGGAAGCAGGAGGACGUGGGGACCUCUGGACGGAAGGAGCACAGGCACAGGCUCAGCCGGCCCUCCACACCGGCCCCCACCGCCCCCCACCCCCCACCCCCACGAAAAUACCGCCCCCGCGCCCGCACGCACGCACGCACGCACGCACGCCCUGCGCUCACGACCAAGGGCCCAGCUCUCAGGAAGGCCAAUGCCAUGCCGGCCUGCUUGGGAAAACAGAAACAAAGAAACAAACCAAAAACGGCACGUCCAAGAGUCACGGCGGAUAAUCCCGGGCCCGGUGUCCUGCCUCCGACCACCACGAAAGCCGCCCUCGGGCCCCAGACCGCCCUUCAAUCUCUGCAGGCAUGCCACCUGCCCACCAGGCAGGAGGGGAAGCGCAGGGGCGCCGGCAGAACCUUGUCCCUGGUCUCCGUGGAGGCCCUUUGGGCCACGGGGCGAGAGGCCCGUGUACCCAAAUGCAAGUGUCUGGGAACCUCCCCGGGUUCCUUGCACGCAGCCACCUCCCGCUGGGCAUCGCAGCCUGGAGACAGGGCGCCCUGGCACCUUCGUGCAGGCGAUGGCUGUGACAGAGACCCUCGGCCAUCCUCCGCCUCCCACGGCACAGGCCCGGCUCCAAACCGAGCCUGGGGCUCAUGCCAGCGCGACCCCCUCACCCCUCUCCCGCUGCGCACUGAGGUGCGCUGCAACCGGGGCUGAACCGGCCCCUAGGUCAGCCGGGCCACGCACCCCACCCGACACCAGCCCACUUCCCGAUACCAGCCACCCCACUCAUUCGCCCAUGCACACGCCGCCUUGGAAUCAGCCCCCUUCAUCGCUGUGACUCAGCUUGAAACGAUGACCAGCCAGCCACGACCCCCCUUUCCUGGUUCCAGCGAGGUUCCUUCUGAUGGGGGUCCCCGCCCAGGCUGAGGCGGCUCAGGCGCCGAAGGAAGGAGCGGGUUCGGCGAGCCCUGGCCACACAGAGCCAGGGGUGCCAGCACGGCCCGCGGCCCGCGGCCCCCAACCGCAUGGCCCCACCGCACUGACACACUGCAUUCACCCCCUGAAGCCCAGCACUCCAGAGGCCCCACGCCCCGCCAGGCUGAUUCUGGAAACCCUCACGCCCCACCUUCGACAUCGGUGUUUCUUUCUGGGGCCAGACAGGCAAAGGGCACCGAGACCCUGCACAGUGGCGGGAGAGAUUAAGACUUGUUCCUAUAACCCCACAGGAUCCUGCUUGGU